GUAGCUCAGCCAGGAUAGAGCACCGGGCUUUUAACCCGGGGGUCGCGGGUUCAAAGCCCGCCG
rnacentral:tRNA from 1 species